rnacentral:rRNA from 1 species
AACGAACGCUGGCGGCAUGCCUAACACAUGCAAGUCGAACGAGACCUUCGGGUCUAGUGGCGCACGGGUGCGUAACGCGUGGGAACCUGCCCUUAGGUUCGGAAUAACUCCCCGAAAGGUGUGCUAAUACCGGAUAAUGUCUUCGGACCAAGGAUUUAUCGCGUUUGGAUGGGCCCGCGUUGGAUUAGCGAGUUGGUAGGGUAAAAGCCUACCAAGGCGACGAUCCAUAGCUGGUCUGAGAGGAUGAGCAGCCACACUGGGACUGAGACACGGCCCAGACUACGACGGGAGGCAGCAGUGGGGAAUAUUGGACAAUGGGCGAAAGCCUGAUCAAGCAAUGCCGCGUGAGUGAUGAAGGCCGUAGGGUUGUAAAGCUCUUUUACCCGGGAUGAUAAUGACAGUACCGGGAGAAUAAGCUCCGGCUAACUACGUG